AAAUUAAGUAAAAUCUACAUGUGUAU
rnacentral:sRNA from 1 species